CCAUAACAUCCGAAAGGACCGAGGGUGGAGAGUUUCCAGUUUGGUGAACUGGGGAGAGAGCCGUGCCUGGAGAGGACACAGACGCUCUUGCAGUCUCUCCCCGUAACCUCACCCCGUGCAUUUCUCCCGUCUGGCUGUUUCUGAAUUCUCUCCUUCUAUAAAAACAAAAACAGUAAUCUGGAGAUAGGUGCUGAAGAAUUCCCAAAGGAUCUCUGCAGCUCAGAACUCGCAGCGGCUCAGACAAGAUCUGCGCCUGUAGACAGCCCUCUUGCUGAGACUUAUUUCGCGCGGCUGGAGAGUCAGAUUGGGCUCCAAGGGGCGGAAAUACGUAAGGGCGGCUUCCGGUGACCCGCGCAGACGUCGAAGACAGCCGGAAUGGAAGAGGUGCCUCAGGGCUGUCCCGGGACCGGCAGCGCCCAGGCGGGCCGAGGGGCCUCAUGUCAGGGGUGCCCCAACCAGCGGCUCUGCGCCUCCGGAGCCGGCGCCGCUCCGGACCCAGCCAUAGAAGAAAUCAAAGAAAAAUUGAAGACCGUGAAACACAAAAUCUUGGUGUUAUCCGGGAAAGGUGGUGUUGGAAAAAGCACAUUCAGUGCCCACCUUGCCCACGGCCUAGCAGAGGAUGAAAACACACAGGUCGCCCUUCUGGACAUUGAUAUAUGUGGGCCAUCGAUCCCCAAGAUGAUGGGAUUGGAAGGAGAACAGGUUCACCAGAGUGGCUCGGGCUGGUCUCCAGUGUUCUUGGAAGACAACCUGGGGGUGAUGUCCGUUGGUUUCUUGCUCAGCAGUCCUGACGAUGCCGUUAUCUGGAGGGGACCAAAGAAGAAUGGCAUGAUCAAGCAGUUCCUUCGGGACGUGGACUGGGGAGAGGUCGACUACCUCAUCGUGGACACCCCGCCGGGCACGUCGGACGAACACCUCUCGGCCGUCCAGUACCUGUCCGCGGCACACGUCGAUGGGGCGGUGAUCAUCACUACUCCUCAGGAGGUGUCCCUCCAGGACGUCCGCAAAGAAAUCAGCUUCUGCCACAAGGUGAAGCUGCCCAUCAUCGGAGUGGUGGAGAACAUGAGUGUCUUCGUCUGCCCCAAGUGCAAGAAAGAGUCUCAGAUAUUCCCACCAACGACGGGGGGCGCGGAGGUCUUGUGCCAGGAUCUGAAGAUCCCUCUCCUCGGAAAAGUGCCUCUGGACCCACACAUAGCGGGAGCUAAGGUGGAUGCCCGGACACAGACAGGAAGGGAUGAAGGGUGCGCUCGAGCCUGGGUGGGAGCCCUGGGGCAGGAGGUAAGAGUUGCGACAAAGGACAGUCUUUUUUGAUUGACGCACCGGAUUCCCCAGCUGCUUUAGCCUACAGAGGUAUCAUUCAAAGUACGUGUGCGUAAAUCCAGGAGUUCUGUGGUCUCCAUCAGCCAAAAGAAGAGCACCUCAUCAGCUCCUGAAACACAAGAGAACAUUCAAGACGCAAGCCACACUUGCACUCCAGCCUGAGCAGCAUGGGGACAAAGUGGUGUCACAGGCAGAAAGGGACCAGACUCUGGUAUGGCGUGAAGUCAUUUUUUUAGAGAUGCUUGAGUCAUAGGAUUUGUAUACUUUUCAACACACAUAAAGGCAUUCUUUACAAACACGCCUCUUAAAAGAACCUCAAACCUCUCCCCCAAGGCCUGCUUCCAGGAAAGAGCCAACGGCUUAUUGGUCAGGGAAUUCUCUGCUGGAAGCUUGUGCAGUUAUAGAACUUCUCCCUCAAGCCACUGCUGCCUUAGAAGAUAAGCCUAAAAAAGAACCCCGGUGAUGGAUGUGUGGCUUCAAGUAGCACUGUCCAAACGCUGCUUCAGAAUGAGGGAAAAAUUAGUCCCCAGAAGCCCUUGAAAAGCUCUUAAAUCACCCAUGGAAACAGAAGAGGUCAUCUGUGUCUGUACCUAGUGCACACUAUAUCCCGUAAUUUCCAGCAUCCUAUAAGACAGCUCAUAGGGUUUUUGGUUUUUUUUUAAUUACAUAAAAGGAGACACCCAUGUAAAUUCUAGAAUUCUCUUCAUUGCCAGGAGAUGUGCAGGAAUGGACACCGAGGGAAGAGUAAAUUCCCGUUUCCCAUCUCGGGGCUUGGGCAGACAGAUGGGCAAAUCCCUCGUUCUCUCCCUCUCUUUCUCUCAUUUCCUGCCCCCUCCCUUCAUGCCUGCACGUAUGGUUGAUUUUGUGUGUGUUCAGUGUGAGGAAAGGGCAGGGGGAGGCCUGCAAAACCCGGAGGACACAGGCUGGCUUGCCCCUGGCUCUGUGCCCAGGCCCCCACCUUGAUCCCACCUCUUACCUAAUGCUUGUGAAUCUCCAGCGCCUUGAGGCCAGGCUUCUCGAAGUCCCUUGGGCUGGCCUGCAAGGGGAAAAGUCAGCUGUGGCUGUUCUCACAAGUGAGGGGCUUGAUUCUGCUGAUUCAGGGGCCAGAGCAAACCCACAAUGUAACCGAAAGCCCACAGAGCUCAUCGCUCAAUGUCUUGGUCUAAAGCAGCCCUGGUCAGAUUUUAAGAUGGUUCAACCAGUUGUAAGAAGAGCCUGGUCAAAUUUCAAAGGUUACUUUCACGUGUAGAAAUAUAUGCAAAGUUAAAAAAUA